rnacentral:rRNA from 1 species
GCUCGCGAUGCAUCUAGAUUAGAGUUUGAUCCUGGCUCAGGAUGAACGCUGGCGGCGUGCCUAAUACAUGCAAGUCGAACGCUUCCUACCGGUGCUUGCACCGGGAAAGAAGAGUGGCGGACGGGUGAGUAACACGUGGGUAACCUACCUACAAGCGGGGGAUAACAUUCGGAAACGGAUGCUAAUACCGCAUAGAUCUUUUUGUCUCCUGACAGAAAGAAGAAAGACGGUUUCGGCUGUCACUUGUAGAUGGACCCGCGGUGCAUUAGUUAGUUGGUGAGGUAAUGGCUCACCAAGACGAUGAUGCGUAGCCGACCUGAGAGGGUGAUCGGCCACACUGGGACUGAGACACGGCCCAGACUCCUACGGGAGGCAGCAGUAGGGAAUCUUCCGCAAUGGACGAAAGUCUGACGGAGCAACGCCGCGUGAGUGAAGAAGGUUUUCGGAUCGUAAAACUCUGUUGUUAGAGAAGAACAAGGAUGAGAGUAACUGCUCGUCCCUUGACGGUAUCUAACCAGAAAGCCAUGGCUAACUACGUGCCAGCAGCCGCGGUAAUACGUAGGUGGCAAGCGUUAUCCGGAAUUAUUGGGCGUAAAGCGCGCGUAGGCGGUUUCUUAAGUCUGAUGUGAAAGCCCACGGCUCAACCGUGGAGGGUCAUUGGAAACUGGGAAACUUGAGUACAGAAGAGGAAAGUGGAAUUCCAUGUGUAGCGGUGAAAUGCGCAGAGAUAUGGAGGAACACCAGUGGCGAAGGCGACUUUCUGGUCUGUAACUGACGCUGAUGUGCGAAAGCGUGGGGAUCAAACAGGAUUAGAUACCCUGGUAGUCCACGCCGUAAACGAUGAGUGCUAAGUGUUAGGGGGUUUCCGCCCCUUAGUGCUGCAGCUAACGCAUUAAGCACCCCGCCUGGGGAGUACGGAA